CUUAAUCUUUGAGACAAGCAUAUGACUACUGGCAGGAUCAACCAGGUAGCAUUCCUCAACGACGUCGUCACCGCACGGCCGGGCCGAGACGGGAGCGACGGUCGUGCACCGUUGGUGUCUAAUGCAUGCUCGGGCAACAAUAAGAGGCCACGUGACCUCAAUGCCCUCAGUGCUUUCCGUAUCCGAGAGCUCGAGCGAUGCCCCGUUCACCGCGACGGCAUAGACGCGACGCGGGUAACGGGCCAUGCUGCGAGUUUCGUCUCGUGACCCGCCGACCAAGCAGCGGACCGCUAAACGAACGAGGGACGUUGGGACAAACGAAUGCCAUCGUGUAGGUACGCAACACAGGAAACCGGGGUCACGGCCAAGGCUAUGCUGCACUUGGGCCAAAACUGAGGAGUCGUGAGAGGCACGUCGUCGCUGCCCGAAGCAGGGAUCCAACGCA
rnacentral:misc_RNA from 1 species